CUUAGAUGGAAGACCCCAGUCCCUCAUGGAGAGGUGGUGUCCAGGAUCCUGGAGACUGUUUUCCGCUGCAGGAGGUUUGAGCGGGGAGAGAUCAUCACUGUCACGACCCAGGGGUCUCCAACCCGGGUCUGCAGGGUUCAUGGGAGCAGCCACACUCCAACCCUCCACCUGGAAGCCUGCUGAAAAUUGCUUACCUCGGACCCAUGAAGUUCAGCCCCAGUUUGAGGCUCCACUCAUGAGGUCCUAUUGGAGGAGUCCCAGGAAAGCUCACUGGCCCCCUGGCCCUGCGUAAGACAGCAGCAGGAACACGAAGCUGACUGAACACCAGGCCUGCUCCCGGUUCUGGACCGUGCACUGCCUGGUUCUGCUGCCGCUCCCCUGGCUUGAUUUCCUGGCAUCUGAGUUGUGGUGGUGAUAGCAAGUUUGUCUUUUGCUGCUGAUCUUCCAGUAUCCUGACCUGGCUGACUCUCCACUCCUGUCAUGGCUCCCCAUCCAUCCUGGAGCUGAACAUCAGAUGGGAGCUGAUGGAUUGUCCUUGGUGGGCCAUGUUCUUGUGUGUGAUGAGAGGGCCAGGAGCAGAUGCACCACGCCUGGCCAGGACUGGGCUAAACAGCCUGUAAUGCUAGACAGUCAGCCCGUGAGGCCAGUUUGCAGAAUGUGGAAGAGCCCUUUGGCGAGGCGUUGGAGGAUUCACCAUGAAGGUGGCAGCAGCGGCAGUGCCUGGGGUCCCCAUGGACCAAGCGUCAACUCCUGCCAAUCCAGGCUAAUCUUCCCCUGCUUUCAGCAGCGCUUGGCUUUAGCUGCUGGGCCUGUGAGCCUAGCCCAGGGGUCUCAAACUCAAAUGACCACAAGGGCUGCAUGAGGACCAGUUCAUUGUCCUGAUGGCCGCAUCACUGACACCCCCCCC